UUGUACAGUCAGCCUGCAUACCCUAAAGGUAGCAGAUCCUGCCUGAAGUUGGAAGCUAAGUAGGGUUGGUCCUGGUUAGUACUUGGAUGGGAGACCAUAAAUGAAGCCAAGGCUACAAC
rnacentral:rRNA from 11 species